rnacentral:rRNA from 1 species
UGGGGGAUAUUGCACAAUGGGGGAAACCCUGAUGCAGCGACGCCGCGUGGAGGAAGAAGGUUUUCGGAUUGUAAACUCCUGUCGUUAGGGACGAUAAUGACGGUACCUAACAAGAAAGCACCGGUUAACUACGUGCCAGCAGCCGCGGUAAAACGUAGGGUGCAAGCGUUGUCCGGAAUUACUGGGUGUAAAGGGAGCGCAGGCGGACCGGCAAGUUGGAAGUGAAAACUAUGGGCUCAACCCAUAAAUUGCUUUCAAAACUGCUGGCCUUGAGUAGUGCAGAGGUAGGUGGAAUUCCCGGUGUAGCGGUGGAAUGCGUAGAUAUCGGGAGGAACACCAGUGGCGAAGGCGACCUACUGGGCACCAACUGACGCUGAGGCUCGAAAGCAUGGGUAGCAAACAGGAUUAGAUACCCUGGUAGUCCAUGCCGUAAACGAUGAUUACUAGGUGUUGGAGGAUUGACCCCUUCAGUGCCGCAGUUAACACAAUAAGUAAUCCACCUGGGGAGUACGACCGCAAGGUUGAAACUCAAAGGAAUUGACGGGGGCCCGCACAAGCAGUGGAGUAUGUGGUUUAAUUCGAAGCAACGCGAAGAACCUUACCAGGUCUUGACAUCCGAUGCAUAGCUUAGAGAUAAGUGAAGUCCUUCGGGACAUCGAGACAGGUGGUGCAUGGUUGUCGUCAGCUCGUGUCGUGAGAUGUUGGGUUAAGUCCCGCAACGAGCGCAACCCUUAUUGCCAGUUACUACGAAAGAGGACUCUGGCGAGACUGCCGUUGACAAAACGGAGGAAGGUGGGGAUGACGUCAAAUCAUCAUGCCCUUUAUGACCUGGGCUACACACGUACUACAAUGGCGUUUAACAAAGAGAAGCAAGACCGCGAGGUGGAGCAAAACUCAAAAACAACGUCUCAGUUCAGAUUGCAGGCUGCAACUCGCCUGCAUGAAGUCGGAAUUGCUAGUAAUCGCGGAUCAGCAUGCCGCGGUGAAUACGUUCCC